UGCAUUAUCAAACCAUGUAAGAGAAAUAACUUUUGAUGAUAAAGUUUUGUGGAAAAAAGCUAUAAAAUUUGACUUGAUCUCAAGAAUUCUCCAUUGAUCAAGGAUGAACAAGCUUAAGAAAGUCAUAGUCGGCAAGAUCACACCCUUUUUGGACAGGUAUCAAAUGUUUAGAGAAAUAAGGAGUCGAGUGAUGAUACCAGAGCAAAAAAUAGUACAAGGAUCAAACAAAGGCAAGAAAGAAAUUAGCAGGGUAAAAAAAAGGACUAGUCUCCUCUCUCUCUCUCUCUCUCUCUGAAAAUGAUAAAAACUUAUUGUGAUGUCGAUUACAAGCAUAAAAUCUUUCGACCCCAUCCCUGUGAGGGUGCUGCUGCUGCUGCGUGUGGACCAGACCACGUUAAUGGAAAAUAGAUUUCAGAACUUCCUUAUAUUUACUGUCCUAACUUUUUGAAACAAUCUAAUGUAAUUCCCUGUCCCAAGUUUUCUAUACAUCAAGGUGUAUUUGGCUUUCUUGUAGUUUCUGUGAUUGCGGAAAAGAUUGCGGUCUGUCUUCAUUAAACAUACACUUUUAAAUCUAAAUCUAUGAUUAUGCAAAA